GUGUGUUUUUUUGUUUGUUUGUUUUGGUUUUGGUUGCUUUUUUUUUUUCUUAUGUUUAAAUAGAAUUUCACUGGACUCAUUGCAGAAUGUCUCUGCCUUCAUUGUACUGAGGAGCCCAGGGCUGAACCAAGAAGUGCAGAUGUGACCUCAGCAUUGCAGAGGAGAGAGGGAUCACCUCCCUUGGCUUGCUGGAGAUGCACUUCCUAAUGUAGCUUUUGCUGUAAGGGCACAUUGCUGGCUUAUGUUCUCAUUGUUGCCCUCCAGGUUUCCCAUGGGAGUUCCCUGCAGAGCUGCUUUCCCGCCCCCACCCUGUUCUGGGACUUGUGGUCGUUCUUGCCCAGGGGCAGGGCUUUGCAGUUCUCUUUGUCAGACUUUAUGAAGUUGCUGUUUGUCUGCUGUAAGUCUUUAUAAGGAACCUCUCAGGACAGAGUUAGAGGGAUGGAGAUUUAAUUACCUCACGUUCCCGCCAAAUCCACACAUCAUUACUUAUCUUUUUUAGUCUUGUGACCUUCACAUCCCUAACAUCAUGUCAUCAUCCUGAUCUCUCAGUGGAUCUGAAAUGAAAACAAAAGCAAUCCAUAAAGUUAUUGGCUUUGUAAGUUUAAGCAGAAAAAGGAAGGACAGGUAUGUAAUUCUCCAUGUUAUUAUCUGAGUCAUAAACAUUUUUUAUUUAUAGCAUUUCUGCUUUAACGACAGGAAUCCUGCCCUAAAAUAAAUGUGUACGAAUUGAGGCCUCUUGGUGAUGAAUGAAUCACUUAUUUUCUUUAUAUUUAUCCAGCUGAAAUUCAUAGUUUCCUCUGUGUACUAUGCUUUUUCUGCAGGGUUCUUUCCAACAGGGCCUCACCAAUUCUGUCCUCAGCUCACCUAUGGUGAGAAAGCAGGGCAUCUCUGUUGUUCCCCGAGUGUAUAAAAUAGCUGCUAUGAAAUCCUACAGACUGGAAUCUCCAUCAGAUUGCCGGAUGUCCUGAAUAUCUGGAAUUUUGUCUUUGCCUGUCUCACUUUACAUUAUUUUGGGGAUAAAUGAGACUUAGAGCCUCAUGGAGCAGACUGAUGGGGCUGUUGGUCCCUUCCUUUGUCUUUGCCAUCCACGUUGCAUCAAGUCACAGAAUCGCAGGGGUUGGAAGGGACCUCAAGAGAUCAUUGAGUCCAAUCCCCCUGCUAAAGCAGGCUCCCUGCAGUGGGUCGCACAGGGAGGUGUCCAGAUGCCCAGCAUGGAUUUACUUCCAUCUGUGAAGAUUUCUUAGUUGGAGCCCUUCCUUGGAUCCACUCUUUCUGGUCCAUAACGGAAAGCUCGGACAGUGCAUAAAGGGCUUUGGUAGCAUAAUCCUGGUUUCUGGGGACUCAGUACUGAAAAUGCCUUUGUGCUGGAGGCAGCCUGCAUUUAGAGAUCAGGAGGACCCAGGCCUCUUCAUUCCUCUGUACUGAGAAACUUAAGCUCAUUCAAAACUCUCAGGUCUCCUUUCUUUGCUCAAACUCAGUGAGUAUGUUUUAGGAGGUAAACGUAGUGUACUUACUUUUUUAACAUAUUUGGUUUGUAGUCUUUCUUUGUGCCCCUGGUGUUGCCUUGCUGCCAGCAGUGCCAUGUGUCUCACUGCUGAGAAGCAUCAGUGUAGAGGGACGGAGAAUGGGCUUGUGCUGAAGUUACUCGGCUGAGGUUCUUCCAAGAAUGAAAAAUGGUCUUUGAACAAAUGUGGUUUCAUCUGACCUUCAAUAAAUCUGACUUCAGUAUUCCUCUUGCAAAUUAGGUACUGUCAGGAUAAAUUUAUUGGCUAUUGGGUGGGAGGAGGGAAAACAUAAUUAUUGAAGGAAAAAAAACCACCAACAAAUCCUGCUUCAUAGACAGCUCAUUUAUUCUAAGUAGGUCAGAGUUGUUACAGAAAACAGCAGCAGUCACACUAGCGAUAGGCUUCAGCUUGUUGAGUACCUCCUGUUAGCAUUUAAGACAUCCCUCCCAUUUUAAUUUUCAGUGUUGGAGGCAAGUGACUCACAAAGAACACUUUUUUCCCUUCCAGGCUGACACGCUGACCCAGUGUCAGGCAGCAGAAGUGGGGAUCCAGGUUCUCCCGUUGCUGAAGGAAGUGCCCAGGAACGAGGCCGCGGGAUUAAGGAGGAAGCGGAGGUUUUAAUGAAGCAGACUCCAUUCUUUGGAGGGGUGAAAGGAGAGCAGCUGGGAUACAAACUGGAAGCACAGCCCUUGGUGAAGAAGCUGAGAAAUCAGUUUGCUUUGGAAAAAAACCAUUGCUGCAACUCCAUGCGAAGUUGGUGGUUUUUGGAUUCCGUUUAAAAGCGCACACUGAUCACUUUGCCUCCAACCUUUCCUUGAGAGCCAACAUGAGGAAGGACACAAAAAGCAGAGGCGGUGUUUCUGUGCAGUACCCUGAGGCCACAAAGGUGUUAUUGCCCCGUGUGAGGGCGGGAUCACUGCACAGUUAAAGGCUGCCAGCAUCCAUGUAGGAAGGGACGCAUUUCCCACAUUGUGCUCAUUUCCCUUGAAGUCUAGGAUAUGUUUGGGCAAUAAGGGGAUUAGGAAAUCUUGACGUAUUAGGAAGGCCAGCCUCUGGGUUCAAGUUGAAUAGAGGGCACCGUGCUUGUGGGGGAAGCUCUUGCAUGGGGUGCCUGUCCCUCCUGGCUGGGGGAAGCAGUGGGGUGCUAUCUCUGCUGUUCUGUGAAGGAACAGAGCUGCAGGCUUCCUGUUAACAGCAAUUAUCAGAUGCUUGGGUUGGAAACAUCUUUUGCCAUGUGACAGCAGAUUAAUUCUGCUUUCCAAAGGCCUCAUCUUAAAUCCAGCAAGGAGAGAGGAUCAUCAGUGCAGUGGGUCCUUUAGAGUCAUUGAACGCAUUACGCUUGUUUUGGACUGAGAUAGGGUGGGAGCUGAGUGUUGGAGUGCAAGGACACCCUGUUUGACAGAUGAGUACGCCAUGGGUGCAUGCUGUUUUCUCUGUAGGCUCCCUUUCUGCUGAGUGGGAUAAAUUUAACCUCACUGUGUAGCCUCUGCUGUCACCUUUUCACAGGAUCCUUCUGAGUCACUCCAGGUUUCUCCGAUCUGAUACGGGUUAGACACAGGAGGCAAUUGCUGUCAGUAUUUUGUUGAAGUCGGAGUCCUUUCAGACCUCCUGCCACAACUAAUUGUCCCAACAGGAGCAAUUGUCUUCACCAGGAAGUCUGUUAUGUUCAUUGGGCAAAAAUCUCUUUGUUUCAGCUGCACCCUUCAGGCCAGAUAACCGCAGAGGGCUUGAGAUGGCCUUGCCUUUAGAACCAGGAGGCAGUGGAGGCUGUGGCAGCCUGAGGAGGUGGCUCACACAGACCAGGUCCACCAGCAAAGUGGGCUGAUGAAUGCUGCACCGCUUUGUUCCUUAGCAAGUGGUGUGACACCUUUUCUUCCUCCUGAUAGCGAGACAGCUGUGGUUUUCAGAGGCACCUGGGGAACAAGAUUUCCUGAACGUUUUUUUUAGCUCUGAUUUUCUUCUGCUUUUACUAUAGAAGGCAGACUUCAUGAACUACAGCGCCUCCUGUGUCCCAUCUUUUAUGUGCAGCUUGGUUUUGGAGAUUGGAAGGUUUUUCAUGCAUUGAUUUUGUGCCCAUCAUGGAUAUGUUUUAAAAAUACUCUUCUUUUGGGGGGGAAAAAAAAAAAAGCCCCUACUUCUGAUGGAGAAAUUUUGAUGGGGAUGUUGGGAAAUAAAU